AAAAAGACAAAUCCUAAGUUUCUGUGUCCAACUUUGACUGUCUGUCUUAUAUGAAAUUAUAUGAAAUUUUUUUAUAAUUUGUAUUUUUAUUGUUGUUAGAUGAUAAAACAUAAUUAAUACUUUGAAAGUGCCUUGUCUUUUUAAUUUUUUUAUAAUUUUUUCAAAUAAGACGGAUGGUAAAACGUUGGACACGAAAAUUAGGAUUUGUCCUUUUU
rfam:Oryza nivara chromosome 3, whole genome shotgun sequence.